AAAGUGCAUCGGAAAACUGGGGAAACUUGAGUGCAGAAGAGGACAGUGGAACUCCAUGUGUAGCGGUGAAAUGCGUAGAUAUAUGGAAGAACACCAGUGGCGAAGGCGGCUGUCUGGUCUGUAACUGACGCUGAGGCUCGAAAAGCAUGGGUAGCAAACAGGGUUAGAUACCCUGGUAGUCCAUGCCGUAAACGAUGAGUGCUAGGUGUUGGAGGGUUUCCGCCCUUCAGUGCCGCAGCUAACGCAUUAAGCACUCCGCCUGGGGAGUACGACCGCAAGGUUGAAACUCAAAGGAAUUGACGGGGGCCCGCACAAGCGGUGGAGCAUGUGGUUUAAUUCGAAGCAACGCGAAGAACCUUACCAGGUCUUGACAUCCUUUGACCACUCUAGAGAUAGAGCUUUUCCUUCGGGGACAAAGUGACAGGUGGUGCAUGGUUGUCGUCAGCUCGU
rnacentral:rRNA from 1 species